GACGAACCGUGCAAACGUUAUUCGGAAUCACUGGGCUUAAAGGGCGCGUAGGCGGGCAACCAAGUCCGGGGUGAAAUCCUCCAGCUCAACUGGAGAAGUGCCUCGGAUACUGGCUGCCUCGAGGAGGGUAGGGGCAUCUGGAACUAGCGGUGGAGCGGUGAAAUGCGUUGAUAUCGCUAGGAACUCCGGUGGCGAAGGCGAGGUGCUGGACCCUUUCUGACGCUGAGGCGCGAAAGCCAGGGGAGCGAACGGG
rnacentral:rRNA from 2 species